CAUUGAUUUGAAUUUUUAUGAGCAUAUAAAUAUAUGAGCAUAUAAAGCAUAAGCAUUUUACAUUUACAUUUUCUCUUUGCACAGAGGCCCUCCCAUUGAGCAGUACUAUGAUGUCAUCCUGCUGAAAAAAAGUGAUGUGCAUAUGAAUGACGAUCUACCGCUGUGACUGCCAUUUCCCACUUCUCAUCUCUACCAGACACACAUCUCUAGGUAUGCCAUGUUCCCAAACUUCAGAUCACCUGAGGAUCGAGACACUGGGAUCGAUGCAAGCAAUCAUCAGCCCUUCCACCCCAAUAUCCCUAGCAAUCCUUAUAAUGUGGUUGUUCUAAGGAAGACCAAAGGUACUUCAUUCUGGAUGACUCUGCUGAUCACCGGCAUAAACCGAUGAGCAGUCUUUAGCAGCUGUUGACCACAGAGGCUCAAGGGGAAUUUGGGACAGCAGAAAGCCAGCGCCACGGCACUGCUCCUCAGAAGGGGUUUGGCAGUAACUGUGUGGUACAGAAGAAGCACACGCUGGUGUGUCUAAGAAGCUCUUCAGUACUGUAAAAGAUGAUAACGUUAAGUAGUAGGUUAAUUUGCACUAAUGAGCUGCCAUUCCCAGUCACUGCCAGUACUGUACAAUUACGUAUGUAAUUGGAUAUAUGAGCCAUUUUUUUUGUGGGGUACUUGUCCACCCAAACCAAGUAUCUCUCCACAGAACAUAUAAUGCCAGGAGUAGUCAUUUUCAGUCGCUUUUCAAUGAUCAUUUUUCAAUGUAAGAAACAUUAAUCACAUGCGGAGGUGGGUUUAUUGUGACUACAAAGCCUAUUUUUGCACAACAGAAAGAUCACUGGAGGCCAAGAUCUAUUUCCAGCAAAGCUUAGCAGGUUCAGAAUUACUAGCUAAGGGGGCAGCUACUGCUGGCACUCAGAAAACACUUUAACUCCAUUUGCUGUUCCCUCCGUAUGGUUUGGUUUCCUUAAAGAUCAGGAUGCUCCACUGCUCACUGACUGAAGCAGAAAUCUCUGGUUAAGUACAGAUGACGCAGAUCACAUGUGGGUGACUUUUACCACUGGAAGGUUAUGUUUAAAAAUUUUCACAGCAAGGUUAUGUUUAAUUUUUUUUUGCCCUUUCUACAUCUUGCUUCUACAAAACUCAGAGUAAUUAUUAUGUAGUCAAUGACAGAACCACGGUUGGAAACAAAGCUCUUGCAAGCAUACACUGCAGUUUCAUUUUUAUCAGACAUCUAGAAUAAUUCAGUUAUUCUGCUGAAGGUGACAAUAUGAGUACAAAACCAGCCUCACAAUUCAUCAAACUUUAUUGUUUGCUGUUGUUGUUUGUAAAAAUCAUGCACAGAAAAUG
rnacentral:lncRNA from 1 species